rnacentral:rRNA from 1 species
GGUGCCGAUCGGAUUCUCGCCUGUGUAUUUUUUACGGGCGAGGGCUUAGAAUUCACGGGGAUACUUGGCCGGAGCAUUGAUCAACUCUCUCGGGGAAACCCGGAUUAAUACCCCAUGGUACCGCAAGGUUAAAGGUGGCCAGCAAUGGCUGCCGCUGGAGGAUUGGUUCGCGCCCUAUCAGCUUGAUGGUGAGGUAACGGCUCACCAAGGCUACGACGGGUACCUGGUCUGAGAGGACGAUCAGGCACACUGGAACUGAGACACGGUCCAGACACCUACGGGUGGCAGCAGUCGAGAAUAAUUCACAAUGGACGAAAGUCUGAUGGUGCAACGCCGCGUGGAGGAUGACGGUCUUCGGAUUGUAAACUCCUGUCAUCUGGGAGAAAGACCUGGGAGUUAAUAGCUCACAGGGUUGAUAGUACCAGAAGAGGAAGGGACGGCUAACUUCGUGCCAGCAGCCGCGGUAAUACGAAGGUCCCAAGCGUUGUUCGGAAUCACUGGCCGUAAAGGGAGCGUAGGCCGCGCGGUAAGUCGGAUGUGAAAUCCCGAGGCUCAACCUCGGAACUGCAUCUGAUACUGCCGUGCUAGAAUAAUGGAGGGGAAGCUGGAAUUCUCGGGGUAGCAGUGAAAUGCGUGGAUAUCGAGAGGAAACUUGUGGCGGAAGCGAGCUACUGGACAUUUACUGACGCUGAGCCUCCAAGCUUAGGGAGCGAAGGAUUAGAUACCCUGUGUCCUGCA